rnacentral:lncRNA from 1 species
AGCAGUUCCAUAGGGUUCCCUGCCCCACCUCUUCCUCUGAGUGAGCGUCCACAAGAGGAGGUGGGGCACGAAAUCUGGAGCACCUGUAGACCUGAUCUGCCAAACUGUGUCCUGAAAGGCUGAACCAUGGUAAGUGCCCAUCUCUGUUAGCCACAUUAGAUGUGCUUUACCAGUAGAAACCUCAUAUUCUGCUCCUUAUCCCUUUCUCACCUAGACUCAUAUCUCCUCCCCUCUCACCAAAGGUAACAAAACCCGAUGGAUAGAUCUAGUGGACAGAAAGGAGAGCAACGAUCUUUCUUCCCAGGGCUCUAACUAGGGCAGGGCAACUGGUACUAAGCCUAAGGGCAUUACAUUCGGAGGCUGUGGCGGCUAGCCUGCCCUGUGCUCAUCCUCCAGUGAGCUAAAGGCAGGGGCAGCCCAAGCCCACCCAUCACUUGCAGUGAGAAGCAGAAGCAACUCAACCUCCCCACCUUUCAACCUCCCGAAUGGCUGGUGGUGGAACCAAACCUCCAGAACACACCAGUGGAGAAACGUGAGGAGGAGGUGGCCACCAUGGAUCCUGAAUAUAGUGACUCGCUCUCUGCACAGCACCAGCUUCUUUUCUUGAGUGCUGGUUCCAAAAGGAGGUCCUUGGAACUAAAGCAUGAUGGGAAACGUAGUCUCUGACAUCAUUAUAUGUCCCUAUAGGCCCCUUCGAAUUCCAUUAUUCCAUGAACCAAUGUCUUCUCUGGUUUCUCUGGCAGCAUGUGCUGGAGGCCUCGGUUUUUUUCCUCACAGGCCUGCCCUAGGUGCCAAAACAGCUAGUAACAGGAUGAAGAUAACUUCUUGAUCAUUAUUGGCUUUCUCGUGUCCCCCUUCCCCCACCAAAUUUUCCUUACCAUUCCUCAGCAAAGAAACCACGGUGCUCUCUGGAUCGAAUGCCAGGUAUAGUGCUGCAAACUUACUUAAAAUGCCAUCUCUCCAAUGUGUCUCCUUAGAAGUAGCUCCUACAGAGUUCAAUCAGAUUUGCUCACAGAGGAACCUGUUUGAAUUAGGAAACAGGAACUUGUUAAAAGAGCUUGUGUCCACUGCUCUGGGCCAUCCAUUUCUAAUGUGUGUUGGUGACUUGUGCUGCAAUCCGCUCCUGUCCAGCCCGCGGACAGUUUUGAACAUCAAAACCAUUUACUGUAUAGCUUUUUGUCUAAGGUUGAUCAGUUGCUUCUCUUUAACAUACCGCAAAAAACCUCUUUAGUAUUUGUGAAGAUUAACAAAUUUAAAAUAAAA